ncrna:Nicotiana tabacum cultivar TN90 Ntab-TN90_scaffold214, whole genome shotgun sequence
GUCGUUUAGGAGACAUUUGAUAAAAUUGGAAGGACAGAAAGAAAAUUUGCGUAGCCCAUGUGUAAUGGAUGAUACACAAAUUGAGAAAGAUUCCUUUCAU